GAUGAACGCUGGCGGCGUGCCUAAUACAUGCAAGUCGAGCGAACAGACGAGGAGCUUGCUCCUCAGACGUUAGCGGCGGACGGGUGAGUAACACGUGGAUAACCUACCUAUAAGACUGGGAUAACUUCGGGAAACCGGAGCUAAUACCGGAUAAUAUAUUGAACCGCAUGGUUCAAUAGUGAAAGACGGUUUUGCUGUCACUUAUAGAUGGAUCCGCGCCGCAUUAGCUAGUUGGUAAGGUAACGGCUUACCAAGGCGACGAUGCGUAGCCGACCUGAGAGGGUGAUCGGCCACCCUGGAACUGAGACACGGUCCAGACGCCUACGGGAGGCAGCAGCAGGGAAUCUUCCGCAAUGGGCGAAAGCCUGACGGAGCAACGCCGCCUGAGUGAUGAAGGUCCUCGGAUCGUAAAACUCUGUUAUUAGGGAAGAACAAAUGUGUAAGUAACUAUGCACGUCUUGACGGUACCUCAUCAGAAAGCCACGGCUAACUACGUG
rnacentral:rRNA from 1 species